GGUCCAUGAUGAUGAGUAAAAGGGCUGACUGCACCGGCAGCCCCGUCCCUCCUCGCCCUGGGCUCCCAGCAGCCCGCAGCCCGCCAGGCACGCUGAGUCGUGUGCCUGGUCCCGCGGGCUGCUGACAGUGCAGGAUGGCUUCAGGUGUGUUUCUGCGAGCUCCAGGCUCACAGCUGAUCAGGUCCAACAGCAGCCUUGCUUUUGAAGGAGCCGCGGGAGGGCAGGAGGGCGAGGCGGUGCGUGAUCUCAAGUUUUCAAUCUGAGACC